rnacentral:rRNA from 1 species
UACGUAGGGUGCGAGCGUUGUCCGGAAUUAUUGGGCGUAAAGGGCUCGUAGGCGGUCUGUCACGUCGGGAGUGAAAACUCAGGGCUUAACCCUGAGCCUGCUUCCGAUACGGGCAGACUAGAGGUAUGCAGGGGAGAACGGAAUUCCUGGUGUAGCGGUGAAAUGCGCAGAUAUCAGGAGGAACACCGGUGGCGAAGGCGGUUCUCUGGGCAUUACCUGACGCUGAGGAGCGAAAGCGUGGGGAGCAAACCGG